rnacentral:lncRNA from 1 species
UUGGCCUGGUGAAGCCUUCACAGAACCUCUCCCUCACCUGUGCCAUCUCUGCAUUCUCCAUCACAACCAGUGUUUCCUUCUGGAGCUGCAUCCAUCAGCGCCCCCAUGGGAGGUACUGGAGUGGAUCGGGUGCAUAGGUCAUGGAGGGAGCACAAAUUACUCCCCUCUUCUCAAGAGUCCAGUCACCAUCUCCAGAUCCAUGUCCAAAAAGUAGUUCUUCUUACAGCUGAAC